CGCAAGUCCCCAUGAGAGGGGCUUUUCCCGGAGCGGGUGCUAGGCCCUUACCGCUCAGAGUCGGGCGAUGAGUCGCUGCUCUCCUGGGAGUCGGGUUGCUUGGGAGUGCAGCCCAAAGUGGGUGGUAAACUCCACCUAAAGCUAAAUAAGACCGAGAGACCGAUAGCAAACAAGUACCGUGAGGRAAAGUUGAAAAGCACUUUGAAGAGAGAGUUCAAGAGUACGUGAAACCGUUUGGAGGUAAACGGGUGGGGCUUCGAAGGCCUAAGCAGGUUGCAGGUUCACGUUCCGAUCGAGUCAGUAGUCGUGAUGGAUGCUCCGUGGAGGGGAUCCUUGCGGCAGUCUGGCUUGUUUCGGAACCGCAUGGCUGCACCCUUGCCAUCGGGACGCCGCGACGGGUUGGAUGAUUGCCGUGUGGGUGGAAUCGAAAGGUGCCCUCCUUUCUUCGGAUCGGAGGUGUUAUAGUCGUCCUACCCAGGGGAAUCGUCCGACCGUGGAAGAGUAUCUCUCGAGAGCGCUCCUGUUGAGCAGCGGAAGAAGAGGGCAGCAUCGGUCCGUCUUCCCUCCACACUUAGUGUGCGGGUCGACGUCGCUGUGUUCCCCCUCUUUUUGACCGCGGUGGAGCGAGAGGUCGGCGGCGAGUAGUUCGGGCUCCCACCCGACCCGUCUUGAAACACGGACCAAGGAGUCCAAUGCGCGUGCGAGUCCCCGGGACUUGAUCAGGCCCGUGGGCGCAAUGAAAGUGAAGGGCGUUUCGGACGUCUUAGUUGGGAUCCUUCCCUCGAGGAAGGCGCACCAACGGCCCAUUCGAAACCGGCUUCGGUUGGAUGGAGCGAGAGCACGCGCCUUGGGACCCGAAAGAUGGUGAACUAUGCCUGGGCAGGACGAAGCAGGAGGAAACU
rnacentral:rRNA from 1 species